CCUACGGGCGGCUGCAGUGAGGAAUCUUGCGCAAUGGGGGCAACCCUGACGCAGCAACGCCGCGUGAGUGAGGAAGGUCUUCGGAUCGUAAAGCUCUGUCAGUUGGGAAGAAAUGCCUGAGGGUCAAUACCCUUCAGGCUUGACGGUACCAACAGAGGAAGCACCGGCUAACUCCGUGCCAGCAGCCGCGGUAAUACGGGGGGUGCAAGCGUUGUUCGGAAUUAUUGGGCGUAAAGAGCGUGUAGGCGGCCUGAUAUGUCAGAUGUGAAAGCCCUGGGCUUAACUCAGGAAGUGCAUUUGAAACUGUCAGGCUCGAGUAGGGGAGAGGGAAGUGGAAUUCCUGGUGUAGAGGUGAAAUUCGUAGAUAUCAGGAGGAACACCGGUGGCGAAGGCGACUUCCUGGCCCUAUACUGACGCUGAGACGCGAGAGCGUGGGUAGCAAACAGGCUUAGAUACCCCUGUAGUC
rnacentral:rRNA from 1 species